AAUGAGCAGAAAGAGCCAGUAAGUAUUGUGAUUCUGUACCUAAGUUAAGGAAAUAUUGCAAAGAAAGGGGGGUACUAAACUAUGUCAUUUUUUUUUCUCAGAAGGUCAACAAGAUGAGGCAAGAGAAGUCAUCAUGGAGUCUGGCAACAUGGAGGUUCCUAGUAACCUCAAAAAAUCAGUAUCAGUGAUUGGUAAAGUAGAUGGGAUGAAAGCCUGACUGGAAUAGCUACAAAGAUACAGAGAAGCAUGUCCCACAAUAAGCCUCUCACACUUAUAACUUGGUCUUAGCACCCACAUCCAGGAGGACAUGAACUGACUCACUUGGGGAGAGGUGGAGAGGCUAUGGAGCUGAGGUAACGUGAGCUGGAUUUUACCGGACACCAUCAUAGCUCUUGGAUCUCUUUAGAUAUGCUGUGAUCGGGGAUGAACUGGUUUACAGGGGAAAUGGAACUGUACGGAUAUUCCUUCAAUCCUGCUUUAGAUGGUGUUGCAAUCAAGACAAUGCAAAAGCUUUUCUAUGACCAUGUACAUUACUACCCUUCUUGUACACCAAGUUAGGAAUGCUACAUAAUAGCAAGAAAGCUAGGAAAAAUGUAUUGACAGCUUACUCUGUACCAAGCUUUAGGCUAGAGCCUUGCUCAUUCAUUCGGAAUACUUUUAAUGAAUACCAAGAUACAUGGGGGCACCAUCUUGAGUCAAAAUCCAGGCCAAUACUUGUUUUUAAAAAAUCAUUUACAUCCUGCCUUGCUUAUAGCAGCACUGUGCCUGUCUUAAAGCAAACAUGUUCACAGGCUGUCAUGUAAUAUAAAUUCUCCUUGCUAUCUUGCUGACUAGAUGCUUCCUUCUUCUCCCAGCUGCAUCUCAAUUUUCCUCCUUGAAUGGAGAUAACAAAGGGUCUCUUUCUUGCCAUUGCAUGUUGUGAAUGUUGCAAAAAUGACAACAUACUUCCAGGAUACUGGAACACAUGAAAAUUGGUGCCUUCAUAAAAGGAGUUUCUUGUGUGGUCCACUUCAGGGGUUUGUGAGCCUAAUAAGUAUGUCUGCCACUCAGCCCAGCCCGAGUGAAGGCAGGAUAAUGUUAGCUCCCAACUCAUGAGAAACAGAGUGUGGGCUUCAGGUCCCUUUGAACUCUUGUAUCACUUAUCUGACUGGCUUUUGCCCUUUUCUGGGAUGGCAGCUGUUUAGAAUCUCAAACCUCUACACCCCUUUAUUCUUCCCAUUAGUGAAAGGCUUAAUUAGGAGCAAAAUGUGUCUUUGCAUCAUAAACACAUUUUAGAAGUUAACAGGAGUCCCUGGCCCCUGCUAAAUGCUAACCAAAUGUGUUAAAAUCAGCAGUUUGAUGUUGCCCAUAGAGACAGCUGGAGAAGGGGAGGGGGGUUUGAGGGAGUGUCUCACAGCUGGAGAACCCAGCAGGAAAUGACACUAUUGGAGACUUGCGACUAAGCAAACCACAAAGUGAGAGAACAGAGAGAAAGAGAGAGAGAAUGAAAGUAUUGGAAACCAGCCCAGCUGGGUCACAGAAUUGGUAAGGGGAUACAGCUUUAAACAGCUAAAAUGAAAAAUGAUUAGCUGAGAAUUGUCUAAUUACUGAAAUUAAAUAUAAAAUCCACUAA